rnacentral:rRNA from 1 species
UGGGGAAUUUUGGACAAUGGGCGAAAGCCUGAUCCAGCAAUGCCGCGUGUGUGAAGAAGGCCUUCGGGUUGUAAAGCACUUUUGUCCGGAAAGAAAUCCUUGGCUCUAAUACAGUCGGGGGAUGACGGUACCGGAAGAAUAAGCACCGGCUAACUACGUGCCAGCAGCCGCGGUAAUACGUAGGGUGCAAGCGUUAAUCGGAAUUACUGGGCGUAAAGCGUGCGCAGGCGGUUUGCUAAGACCGAUGUGAAAUCCCCGGGCUCAACCUGGGAACUGCAUUGGUGACUGGCAGGCUAGAGUAUGGCAGAGGGGGGUAGAAUUCCACGUGUAGCAGUGAAAUGCGUAGAGAUGUGGAGGAAUACCGAUGGCGAAGGCAGCCCCCUGGGCCAAUACUGACGCUCAUGCACGAAAGCGUGGGGAGCAAAACAGGAUUCAGAUACCCUGGUAGUCCACGCCCUAAAACGAUGUCAACUAGUUGUUGGGGAUUCAUUUCCUUAGUAACGUAGCUAACGCGUGAAGUUGACCGCCUGGGGAGUACGGUCGCAAGAUUAAAACUUAAAUGAAUUGACGGGGUCAUAGCUG